UUACUGAAAACAGCCACUUGUGUUCUUGCUCUUGUCUUCGUUCGUCGAGACCGUUCGCUACGUUUCAAGAAGACUUCAUUUUCGCUCAGGGAGCGAAGUGGUUCUACUCUACAUUCAAGGCAUCGCCAGCCUCUGCCUCGUCGCAGGCUUACUCCACACAGCCGAGGAGUGGACUUCAGGCAGCGGUCUUCAUUAGAAUAUCGAAGGCAGCCUUGUGACGAUAAAAAAUUUCGGCGAGUACAUUUAUUUUGCCACAGUAACUCUAUCAACGGUUGGGUAUGGUGACAUCUUGCCAACAACGACCCUUGGAAGAACAGUUAUCAUUUGGACCAUACUUAUUUGUAUUCCGAUAUUUGCUGCCUCUUCUGAACGAAUAAUUUAUUGGUUUUUGGACUCAGUGACGCGUUUUUGGAGUUCUGGAAGCAGUUUAUAAUUUGCUUGUGAGCUUCCAAGAGUCGUGUUAUGUGGUAACCCUUCCAUAACGAUGAUAAAAUCAUUUCUCGAUGACUUCUUGCACCCGGAUCGUCAAAAUUUCGCCGUCGAAAUCAUCCUGCUGGGUGAAGACCAGCCCAACAGGGAACUUCGUGAUCUAAUGGAAGAAUAUUGGUGUGUUUCCUACUGCAUGGGCUCCCCACUUAACCGAUCUCGCCUUCAUAAACUCUUAGGUCUUCGGAAAUAAUCUCGCUCCUGCGAUGUAUUGAUUUGCGUCUCUGAUGCGUACAACUCAAAUAUUCGGAAAGCUGAGAAUGAAGUGGAGGCCAUUGUGUGUGCGGCUAAGACAACCUUCCCAAAGUUGAGAGUUAUUGUGCGAGUUAACCUCUUAGAAACCAAGAAAGCGAUUACACAAAUUAGCGGUUGGAAUUCGCAAGCUAUAGUAAUUUGUGUUGCUGAAGUAACUCAAAAUCUCAUUGCACAAAACGCCUUAGCUGCCGGUGCGGCCUCUGUGAUAGCAACUUUAAUGAAAGCCAGAGACACAAAACGUUCCCGAAAGUGUGACGACCGCGUUAAAAUCCAAUUUUAAAGAGGAUAGAAUAUGGAAAUUUACCUCAGCGAAACCCCUUUUCCCGUGUCGAUGCCUUUCCAUGUGGCUGCCGAGCAUUUCUACUAGCAAGGAGUUACUCUGAUUGGAACGCGGGUUGUUGGAGAAGAAGCUGAAGCGAGCACCGACUUCUUGCCUGGAAUUCUUCCAUAGAACAGUUUCGCUAUUUUCAUAGCUUCAGAUUAGAAACAAGUUGAAAACCUGUCAAUGAAAACGCUCGAAAACUUGAUGGAUGAAAAUAAAUCUUCAAUAAUGAACCCAGUAUAGUUAAAGGAGGACAAUGGGAAACGUCCGAUUAGUCUUAUUCAACUUGACCCUUCGCCGUAAAGUAAAGAAAGAAUCCAGACCUUGGUCUAGACAGUGCUCAAGGCCUCGCGGCGAAUAUAAUUGAUCAAUGAUAAUCAAGGAGAUUGGCUGAAUGAUCUAGACAAUAUACGAUCCUCUAGUCAUAUUAUCAUCAUGAACACGAACGAAAAAGUUUCACCCCUGAUGUCAGAUAUCUCCUGCCUUAAAAUUCUGACAUAACUUGAACGGCGGUAAGAUGAAAUCGAUGAUGUAUUAGUUCCUCAUACCAUCAACCUUAACAAUGCCAACAUCCUGCCUAUUAAACUUCAAGAUGAAAACCUUCAAGGCGACAUUCCUCACUCCACAGGAACGCUUGUGUGUGCCGAUAUGACGAUUCCAAUGCUAAGUACUGCCCACCACUGCGCCGACACUUUCCAAGCGUUACUUCAGCUCAUGGGAUCUGAAAAUGACGAGACUUGCUUCACUUUCCUGAAAACGAUGCACGACACCACAGCUCGAGACGUCUUCUUGGCUCUACUGCAGCACCAUAGGCUUCUGUUAGCCGUCGCUGUGAUGAGUGGAGAGCGCUGCAGAGAACGGAUGGUUGUGGUGUGUCCUGAAGGCGAUAUGGUCAUCACACCCAACGAUGCCAUUAUCGGAUUAAAGAGACGUGCAAAGUCGACGAAUGACUCAGAUAUCACCAUAGACAAAUCUGAAAUGAAAUUUUAGCCGAUGAGCUAUAGUUAUGCAUCUGAAUAUUCCGAAAACCACGAAUCCUCAAGGAAAGAGUAACCAAUUGAUAUCAAGGAAGAUGACGAUGAUAAGUAAACCUCUGUCCCAAGUGGCUUUUCACUAGAUUAACUCCCAGAUAAUGAAAAUAAAGUUAUGAAGCCUGCACCGAAUUUCAAAGCAAACAUCUAAAAAAUUCCGGAAAAGAGUGUGAAGAAAAAACAUUCACCUUCUAGGAGCUUUUCUUCUAGUGCGUCUGGGACAAGUGGGUCGAGACUUCCAAUCUACAGUAAAAUAAAUACUCGCGACCGGCGCACUCCCACUAGCUUGCAAGUGAAACCUGCCUUGCAAGGAACAAACUCUAGGGAGAAGUGAUGCUGAUGAGUGAGCCUGGAACCGCCCUGAGCUGAAGAUUUCAUUAUCAUUGACAAUUUCUUUAUUACUGUGAAAAUAGUUUGAAGAAACGCGGACUAAGUUUAAGGCCGCGAAACUGAAUAUGAGUCUCAGAUUUAUUUAUAUUUUUGAAUCGUUCUUCUGUCGUUGCAAAUUUUUAGCGUGAUAAAUAUCAUUU